UUCCGAUGGCAGAUGAUCGCUGGUGAGUCCCGCGUUGGCGGGAUUCGCUGGAGGAAAGUCCGAACACCAUACGGCAGCAUGCCGCGUAAAAUACGCGGGCGACGUUCGCGAAAGCGGACGUUGACGGAAAGUGUCACAGAAAAAACACCGCCGGUUCUUUGAGAAAAGCGCAGGUAAGGGUGAAAAGGCGAGGUAAGAGCUCACCGCUCGCGGAGCAAUUCGCGAGGCACGAAAAACCCCAUGCGGUGCAAGACAAAACAGAGGAAGGGCAGCCGGCCCGAUUUAAUCCUCGGGUAUGUCGCUAAGAUAAAUGAUCAUCGUCCCGAAGAAAUUCGGGAGACCGAAUUCGGCUUAUCGCCAUCGAAAAUAU
rnacentral:RNase_P_RNA from 1 species